GGGUUGUGAGGUUAAGCGACUAAGCGUACACGGUGGAUGCCCUGGCAGUCAGAGGCGAUGAAGGGCGUGCUAAUCUGCGAUAAGCGCCGGUAAGGUGAUAUGAACCGUUAUAACCGGCGAUACCCGAAUGGGGAAACCCAGUGUGAUUCGUCACACUAUCAUUAACUGAAUCCAUAGGUUAAUGAGGCGAACCGGGGGAACUGAAACAUCUAAGUACCCCGAGGAAAAGAAAUCAACCGAGAUUCCCCCAGUAGCGGCGAGCGAACGGGGAGGAGCCCAGAGCCUGAAUCAGCAUGUGUGUUAGUGGAAGCGUCUGGAAAGGCGCGCGAUACAGGGUGACAGCCCCGUACACAAAAGCGUAUGUGCUGUGAGCUCGAUGAGUAGGGCGGGACACGUGGUAUCCUGUCUGAAUAUGGGGGGACCAUCCUCCAAGGCUAAAUACUCCUGACUGACCGAUAGUGAACCAGUACCGUGAGGGAAAGGCGAAAAGAACCCCGGCGAGGGGAGUGAAAAAGAACCUGAAACCGUGUACGUACAAGCAGUGGGAGCACCCUUUGGGGUGUGACUGCGUACCUUUUGUAUAAUGGGUCAGCGACUUAUAUUCUGUAGCAAGGUUAACCGAAUAGGGGAGCCGGAGGGAAACCGAGUCUUAAUUGGGCGUUAAGUUGCAGGGUAUAGACCCGAAACCCGGUGAUCUAGCCAUGGGCAGGUUGAAGGUUGGGUAACACUAACUGGAGGACCGAACCGACUAAUGUUGAAAAAUUAGCGGAUGACCUGUGGCUGGGGGUGAAAGGCCAAUCAAACCGGGAGAUAGCUGGUUCUCCCCGAAAGCUAUUUAGGUAGCGCCUCGUGAAUUCAUCUCCGGGGGUAGAGCACUGUUUCGGCUAGGGGGUCAUCCCGACUUACCAACCCGAUGCAAACUGCGAAUACCGGAGAAUGUUAUCACGGGAGACACACGGCGGGUGCUAACGUCCGUCGUGAAGAGGGAAACAACCCAGACCGCCAGCUAAGGUCCCAAAGUCAUGGUUAAGUGGGAAACGAUGUGGGAAGGCACAGACAGCCAGGAUGUUGGCUUAGAAGCAGCCAUCAUUUAAAGAAAGCGUAAUAGCUCACUGGUCGAGUCGGCCUGCGCGGAAGAUGUAACGGGGCUAAACCAUGCACCGAAGCUGCGGCAGCGACACUCAGGUGUUGUUGGGUAGGGGAGCGUUCUGUAAGCCUGUGAAGGUGGCCUGUGAGGGUUGCUGGAGGUAUCAGAAGUGCGAAUGCUGACAUAAGUAACGAUAAAGCGGGUGAAAAGCCCGCUCGCCGGAAGACCAAGGGUUCCUGUCCAACGUUAAUCGGGGCAGGGUGAGUCGACCCCUAAGGCGAGGCCGAAAGGCGUAGUCGAUGGGAAACGGGUUAAUAUUCCCGUACUUGGUGUUACUGCGAAGGGGGGACGGAGAAGGCUAUGUUGGCCGGGCGACGGUUGUCCCGGUUUAAGCGUGUAGGUGUGUGUUCCAGGUAAAUCCGGUUCACUUUAACACUGAGGCGUGA
rnacentral:rRNA from 2 species